rnacentral:rRNA from 1 species
GACGUAGGGUCCAAGCGUUAUCCGGAUUUACUGGGCGUAAAGCGCGCGUAGGCGGUCUGUUAAGUGCACAAGUGAAGGCUCCGGGCUCAACUCGGAAAUUGCUUUGCAUACUGGCAGGCUGGAGGGACGCAGAGGUCUGUGGAAUUCCUGGUGUAACGGUGAAAUGUGUUGAUAUCAGGAGGAACACCCAUGGCGAAGGCAGCAGACUGGGCGUUUCCUGACGCUGAGGCGCGAAAGCGUGGGUAGCAAACAGG